UGAGGUAAAUCGCUAAAUUCGCAUUUUUGGAGAUUUUUAUAAAUCUUGUAGAAAUUAGUUUAACUUGGCGUUUUCUCUAGAUUUUGUGUGGUUUGGAGUUGCUAGGAGCUUCCCGAGCAUCGGGUCUUGGUGUGGUGAAUUUUUGCGGCACGUUACGGUUGAGCUUAGAGUCGUUUGGAUAUUGGGAGUACAAGCAAUCUGAGAUGAUAUUCCUGUGAUUGCAGGUACUCUUGAGGCGGAUGAUGAUCCGGUAGCUCACUACUUGGGAUACUACGAUUGAAGCCCGUAGCGACAGUCGUAGUGGGAUAGGACUGAGGUGUCCUCAUUUUGGGUACUUUUGUAUAUGGCUUGUGACGUGUGUGUCACACAUUAUUUUGUAUAAGCCAUUCUUUUGUAUUAGUAAAAUGUAGUUAAACUUUAAACAGAUAGAUUUGUGUUAUGGCUCACUUAUGUAUAGAUAACAGGUUCAUUUAUAGUUAUGCUUUUCCGCUAUGUGUAUUGGUAUCAUGAUUUAUUCCGCUGUA